GAUCAUGGCUCAGGAUGAACGCUAGCUACAGGCUUAACACAUGCAAGUCGAGGGCAGCAUGGUCUUAGCUUGCUAAGGCCGAUGGCGACCGGCGCACGGGUGAGUAACACGUAUCCAACCUGCCGUCUACGUCUUGGACAGCCUUCUGAAAAGGAAGAUUAAAUACAAGAUGGCAUCAUGAGUUCACAUGUUCACAUGAUUAAAGGUAUUCCGGUAGACGAUGGGG
rnacentral:rRNA from 1 species